GUGAAAUUGUGGAUAUAUAGUCUGAAAAACUCAUAAAGUGAGUGUAGUCAUCAGCUUCUUCCCUUGUUUUUUUAGGGACUGGAGUUAACAGCACAACAUUU